GUGAGGAAUAUUGGACAAUGGGCGCAAGCCUGAUCCAGCCAUGCCGCGUGCAGGAAGACGCAUCUAUGGUGUGUAGACUGCUUUUGUACGGGAAGAAACACUCCCUCGUGAGGGAGCUUGACGGUACCGUAAGAAUAAGGAUCGGCUAACUCCGUGCCAGCAGCCGCGGUAAUACGGAGGAUCCAAGCGUUAUCCGGAAUCAUUGGGUUUAAAGGGUCCGUAGGCGGUUUAAUAAGUCAGUGGUGAAAGCCCAUCGCUCAACGAUGGAACGGCCAUUGAUACUGUUAGACUUGAAUUACAAGGAAGUAACUAGAAUAUGUAGUGUAGCGGUGAAAUGCUUAGAUAUUACAUGGAAUACCAAUUGCGAAGGCAGGUUACUACUUGUGGAUUGACGCUGAUGGACGAAAGCGUGGGGAGCGAACAGGAUUAGGAACCCGUGUAGUCC
rnacentral:rRNA from 1 species